AAGUGCAGACAAGUUCUUGUGUAGUCUAGAAAAGAAAAGGGAGUUGCAGAGAAAGUAUUUGCAGUUUUUCUCCUGUGCUACCCACAGGGCAGGUGUUUGGAUUAUUAAUGAGUCACCUGGCUCUUAACAUAAAAAUAUCUGUAAGGUAGAGAAGGGUAGUUCAUCACGUUACUCCGUUCCAAUUCCUUAAGGAGACUCAUAAUCACUGCUCUCUUCUGUUCUCACCAAGCCAGCUGCCUAUUGCUAACUGUGCUUUCGCAUGAACACCAUCCCCUCCCCCAACCCCCAGGAAGGACAUGUUCCUUACAGGUGGGUCAGUAGUUCUGGGAUCAAACAAAAUCUUACACUUAAAUAAUUGACAAUUAGGGAUUUAAAUAGGUUGUUUUUCAUUAGAUUAUCGUGAAUCCAUUCCAUUAUACUUGUUUCAGCCUGGGGGAACCAAACUAAACUCCUUUUCUGAAACAGCAAAAAGUCAGCCACUGAAUCCUGGUGAAGACAAGGGUACAGACCCCUGUGAGCCUGAAGCGCUAAUGACCAUCUGGCCUCACCCAUUUCUAAACCAUUCAUCAUAGAAGUUCAGUGUUUGUGAAUUAUUCUUCCCAUAUGCAUUUUAAGGUUAUUCCAAGACUCUAAAGAAAACUUAAAUGCCUGCCGCCACCCUUCGGAUUAGAACUGUACCACGGGUUCUCCUGGUUCUCUGGCUUUCCGACGCAGACUGGAGCCCCACCAUCAGCUCUCCUGGGUCUCCAGCUUGUUGACUCACCCUGCAGAUCUCAAGACUUGUCAGCCUCCAUAAUUGGGUGUGCCAAUUCUGUAUAAUAAAUCUUUUUCUACAAAUAUA